AUUUAUAUAUAUUGCUAACAAAACAUCAUCACUAUCAACUGAACUCCGCUCAGAAUUGUUUUUUCGUUAGCAAUAUACAUUUACUUUCCCUUCUACUACCUUCCCAAAUUUUAAGCCGCGUCGUGCGGAUUUCAUACCCAUAUCAUACAAUAGGGAAUAUUCUUAGCUACCAUUUUUGUAAGUUUCGGAUUUAAGAUUUUAAAAUUGACUGUCUGAGAGUCCAAUCAGUGCUAAAAAGUAUUAGAAAUUUUUAAUCUAAACGAAUUUACGCGACUGCACCCACGUGCGAAAUUGUCCG